rnacentral:lncRNA from 1 species
CUGCUUUCAGUUUCCUAGUGGAAAGAAAAAGUGGAGUAUAAGUAAUAAUAAUAAUAAUAAUAAUGAUAAUAAGCUCAAUGGAGGCAACACCAUCAAGGCCAUAAACACCUGGGCCAUACCUGUCAUAAGAUAUACUGCUGGCAUUAUAAAUUGGACACAGGCGUUUAUGGCCUUGAUGGUGUUGCCUCCAUUGAGCUUGCUUUUGAGAAUUUUUCUGACUCUUUGUGUGUAUUCUUUGCUGACCACAGUUUUCACAUGUUCAUGCUUGAUGUUGUCCAGCUGUAGUAUGCCCAGAUAUUUAUAGACGUGGUGGGGGGGCUUAACCACUCCAAUGAUGACUGAAGGCU